UAGGGAAUCUUCCGCAAUGGGCGAAAGCUUGACGGAGCAACGCCGCGUGAGUGAUGAAGGUCUUCGGAUCGUAAAACUCUGUUAUUAGGGAAGAACAAAUGUGUAAGUAACUAUGCACGUCUUGACGGUACCUAAUCAGAAAGCCACGGCUAACUACGUGCCAGCAGCCGCGGUAAUACGUAGGUGGCAAGCGUUAUCCGGAAUUAUUGGGCGUAAAGCGCGCGUCGGCGGUUUUUUAAGUCUGAUGUGAAAGCCCACGGCUCAACCGUGGAGGGUCAUUGGAAACUGGAAAACUUGAGUGCAGAAGAGGAAAGUGGAAUUCCAUGUGUAGCGGUGAAAUGCGCAGAGAUAUGGAGGAACACCAGUGGCGAAGGCGACUUUCUGGUCUGUAACUGACGCUGAUGUGCGAAAGCGUGGGGAUCAAACAGG
rnacentral:rRNA from 1 species